UACGUAGGGGGCAAGCGUUGUCCGGAAUCAUUGGGCGUAAAGAGCGCGUAGGCGGUCCGAUAAGUCGGCUGUGAAAGUCAGGGGCUCAACCCUUGAAAGCCGGCCGAUACUGUCGGACUAGAGUUCGGAAGAGGCGAGUGGAAUUCCCGGUGUAGCGGUGAAAUGCGCAGAUAUCGGGAGGAAGGCCGGUGGCGAAGGCGGCGCUCUGGAACAUUUCUGACGCUGAGGCUCGAAAGCGUGGGGAGCAAACAGG
rnacentral:rRNA from 1 species